rnacentral:rRNA from 1 species
UGCGCCUUGCCAGCCCGCUCAGAAACUUAAAGGAAUUGACGGGGGCCCGCACAAGCGGUGGAGUAUGUGGUUUAAUUCGAUGCAACGCGAAGAACCUUACCUGGUCUUGACAUCCCGGAGACCCUUAGGAAACUAGGGGGUGCUUCCAUCUGGAAGAAUCUGGAGACAGGUGCUGCAUGGCUGUCGUCAGCUCGUGUCGUGAGAUGUUGGGUUAAGUCCCGCAACGAGCGCAACCCUUGCCUUUAGUUGCCAGCAGUUCGGCUGGGCACUCUAAAGGGACUGCCGGUGUUAAACCGGAGGAAGGUGGGGAUGACGUCAAGUCCUCAUGGCCUUUAUGACCAGGGCUACACACGUACUACAAUGGCCGAUACAAAGGGCAGCGACACUGCGAGGUGAAGCCAAUCCCGUAAAAUCGGUCUCAGUCCGGAUUGGAGUCUGCAACUCGACUCCACGAAGUUGGAAUCGCUAGUAAUCGUGGAUCAGCAUGCCACGGUGAAUACGUUCCCGGGCCUU